rnacentral:misc_RNA from 1 species
UGAAGAAGAGUUGGACGUACGAUGGAGUAAAGGACAAAAAACUUACUGCUAUAGCUAUGUGACCUUAUGAACUCUAAAACCACAGACACAGCCUUUCGUCUUAAUGCAUGGACCUCGUAUUUAUCGUUUCAAAUUGGUUAUUUAACAGCGUACAAAGGAACAGAAACACUCUGUUCUAGAGAUGAGUAGUAGUGGGCCUAGCAGUACUAGUAGUGGAAGCGAGAGCACGUCAGACAGACCUACUGAGCUCAUUGCUCUACUAGACUCCGAGAAUGCGGAAACAGUAGAGCAGACUAAAGCAAUUAUACACGAGAACCUAUAUAAAUCUCGGGAUACGAGUCUGUUAAAUGCUCUGGUCGAUUGCUAUUUGGAAACGCGGUCACCAACUGCAUUGCAGAUCUUGACCAAUGUGCACGAAGCACGAACACAUAAUUUAUUUGAAAAACUCAACGAUUGCCUCAGACAUUGUGGCCUUCGUGGUCGUAUCGAUACCAUGACUCUACUUGGUCACAUCGUACGAAAACAGCCAUCUUGGUUGUACAAGAUAGUCAAAACACCUCUCUUUGAAACAGUCAUUAAGAGUAUGAAGAGUGAGUCGGAUGUUUUGUAUCUUAUGAAUGGUGCCCUUACCAUCACCACAUUGUUGCCAAUCAUUGCCUCCUAUGUGGAAUCCUGGUUGAAUGAUGUCUUUGAUGUCUACACAAGGCUUGCUGGCUUUCUUAACAGUAGACCAGGCAACAUUCCUGAUAUCUACAUGUUGCACCUCCAUGUGUCGGUGUAUUUCUAUUUUCAUCGUAUUUAUGCCAUGUACCCGAACAAUUUUGUCAUGUUUCUAAGAGGAUAUUGUCAUAAUAAUGCGAGGAAACAGAUUGUCUUUCAAACCAUCAUUAAGCCAAUGCUGGAGCAUGUACGUCUUCACCCAUGCCUCAUUACAGAGACAUCUCAGUCGGAAACUGGCAAGCACAGGUGGAGGAAGAAGGAGCCCCAAGACAUUGUGAUAGAAUGUGAAAAUAUGUCAUUGGAUCCAUUAGACAGACUACAGACUGAUAGCAGCCUAACAACCUCUUGGACAUCCCUUCACGAUGCACUUGGUAAUACACAAGACAAAUCUGUGAACUCAGUACUCACAACAUCCGAAGACCUUAACAAAGAGGUUUGCGACGUACCAAUAAUCAAAGAGAGGAGGAUGUCUGACUCAGCAACACAAACUGGAAAGUCGUUACAAAGUGGAGAUAGUGGUACUGGAAGUAUACCGUUAGUGUCGUCGGAGGAUUUUAAUAGUGCGUGGAGUCCAACAGAGAUGUGUGGGUUGUCUACCCCACCUUCUAGUCACAUGUCACCAGCGACGAGUAGUCAAGAUUUGGUAGCAGUACAAGCGAACCUUUCUAUCUCACAAUGUAGUACUCCUGGAUUUGCAAGUACCCCAGGAGAUUCACCGACAUCAUCCUUGGCUGGUGAUUUGGCACAAAGUAGUCCUGCUCUACUUAAAAAUAGAAAAACUUUAGCAAAGACGCUAAGUGGCAAGAGCACACCUAGUAAGACUGUAGGGCUUGACAGCCCUCUCAUUCAUAGAGCUUUAAAUUCAAUGUCAAUUCAAACUAAAGCUGAAACAUCAACACCCAAAACAGAGACUUUGGUAACUGAUUCUAGUCAUGUUUUAUCGAGUCCUGAAGUCGAGAGCAGCAAGUUUAACUAUGAGAGGCAAACGUCAGAGUUGUCUGUACAAUCUGAGCCAAUCACACCAAUAGAUAAAUCCCUUACUUAUGAUUAUAUUCGUAAUGUCAAGCCAGAACAUGAGAUGCAGGAGCAAUUAACUUGUAGUGAUCAUAGUGAGACAAUGGAUAAUGCUACCAAAGAAAUAAAAAGAAUUCUUAGCCAGAACGAUUUUGCUUCGUUGCAAAAUGCAGAAUCGCCUGUCAACCCUCCACCAAGUCUAGAUGCAUCCCUGGUGUCAAACAGUAAUUUCUCGUCUAAUGGUAUCUUAUCUCAAGGACUGCAGCAUAUUAACUUGUCGAAUGAUAAAUUCACAAUUGGUAUGUCCGAUGAUGUUGAGAAAAUAAUGAAGGAUGUUUCAAAACAUGCACUUGAAGAACCGAAUCUCAUGCCUUAUAAGAGUGAAAGUAAGAAUACUUUAGUAUCUCACAGUUCUGAGAUAUCUGAAGGCUCAAGGACUCGUUUGGUCACUCCCACACCACAGGACGACCACCAGAAUUCAUAUAAUUCUGAGACUUUAGCUAUGCUGUUAAAUCAAAAGGGGCAAUACCCUGGAGCAAGACACGAACAGGAUGACGAUUAUAAGAGAUGUUUAUCUCCUAGGCCAACACCUAUCGAGUUAUUAGAUAAUUAUAUUCAAGUAGGAUCAGGGGUUCAAUUAAAUGAGCUAUCUAGAAUAUCGCUUGUAAGCUCUCCUGAAACUGAUUGGACUCAUUUUGGAGGUGAAGCCCCUGUGGAUGAGAUUACAAUUUUGCGUGGUCAAAUCCAGCUACUACACUUUCAGUUGUUGUAUGAGAGACACAAGUGUUACCAGCAUGCCAUACGUAACAGACGUCUUAUCGGCAAGACAUUCAAAGCUGUGCAGUAUGAAGAAGAACUUCUGGCCAUUAAAGACCAUCUCAGGUUACAAGAGGAAAAAAUGAGAGAAUUGACAGAAUCUUUGAUAAAACAAACUGAAGAUAACAGUAAAUUCAAGGAAAUAACUUCAGGAUGGGAUAACCAACAACAAACACAACUGAGAAAUCUGCUAAAUGAAAAUGCUAAGCUACAACAUGACAAGAAGAUGCUAAACGACACUCUGGAAAAUCAAAAGAAAGAGCAUGACUCUUUACAAAUGAAACUACACCAGUGUGAGUCCAAGAUAUUCACCUUACAAAAUGAAAUUGACUGCAUGAAGCCCAAACUUGCCGAAAAAUCUCAACUGAAGUCAGAAAUAGAGAGGCUAAUAAAAGAACUUGUGAUAAUGGGUGAACUGAAUCAGCACCAUAAGGAUAUGAUGGAGAAGGCGGCUGUUGAUAAGGGAAAGAAACCUGAAGCUAGCUUGCAGUUUUAUGCUUGUCAAAAAGAGUUAACAGCCUCUAAGCAAAUGGUAAGGAAACAGAAAACUGAAAUAGAAGCCUUGCAUUCAAAGGUUGCAGAACUGGAGAAACACUUAACAAAAAAGGAUGUUGAAAUGAAGGAGUUUAGAAAGUUUUCUGAGAGCUUGAAUGGAAUUUACUUGGCUAAACACAAGGCAUUAGAAGAAAAAUAUACUGCACAGAAAAAAAUCAACCAAACUCUAGAGGCUCGUAUACUUAAUUUACAACUUGCUCUAGAGGAUACAAAACAUGAAAACACGAUGCAGGCAGCAGCCAAGACUAAAACUAGAGCAACUAGAGCAACAAGUCCAAUUCAAGAGGAAACGUCUAGCGGUUAGGAACCAUCUCACGGCACUCCUACUGGCAACCUAAAAACUUAACAUUAAAGUAUAGUAAUAGCAUAGAAUGCGACCCCUUGGUGCUGAAGUUGUUGAUAGGCUCUUAUUAGGUUGUUGUAUAGAUGUUGUGUUUAAGGUGUCAGUAGGUUGAUAGUGGCAUGUUGGUAAUGUUUUGGUAGGGUAUCAGAAGCUGGUUGUUGGUAGGUCAUCGUUGGGGUGUUGGUGGUUGUGUUUAAGGUGUCAGUAGGUUGAUGGUGGCAUGUUGGUAGGGUAUCAGAAGCUGGUUGUUGGUAGGUGUCAGUAGGUUGAUGGUGGCAUGUUGGUAAGGUGUCCUAAGGGUGUCAUCAGGUUCUUAGUAGGUUGUUGGUAAGGUGUUUUUAGGGUGUCAACAGGUUGUCGGUAGGUGGUCUGUAGGAUAAAGAUAGGAUAUAAUGAUAAGCUAUUGGUCUAUACUUUACAGUAAUUUGGAGUCCAUUUCCUAACUAUUACUAUUGUUUAUUUUAGAUAUAUUUUUAUAUCUAAAGUAAUAUAUAUUCAUGGCUUAAAUUAAAGGGCUUGAUAGAGAUAGAAUACAGUAAAUAAGACAAAGUUGAAACCAUACUCAUUGAAAAUUUUAACUGACUUCAAAAAAACCUUUUUUUGCAAUAUCUUGAUAAGUAUUUUUGAAUUAUUGUUCAUGAAUUUAAAUCUCAUUGCAAUUCUAUUGCCCUUACAAGUUUGGAAAAACUGGCAAAAUANGUUCNUGGUAUGCUGAUCAAAUUUGAGAGGGUUUAAAAGAAAUUAAAAUAAAAUUGCUUGUAAUAUUUUGCCUUGAAUAGACCUCUUUAGUUCGGGCAUGUUUUCCCAUUUCAUACCAAGUGUCAUUCCCUAGAGUAUCGUUCCUUUGUUUAACAGUUGCACAUGGGAAACACAUGAAUAUAGAUACAACUCAAACAAAGAAUUUUAUUCUGUAGGGAAUGACACAUGGUUUGGAAUGGGAAACAUUACACCAAAGGUCAAAUGUGUUGACUGGUGACCACCUUCCUAAUCACUACAUGGCACAUCAAUAUCUCAUUUUUUGCUAUAUAAAAUAUACUCUGACACACACAUAACUACGGUAGAGACCACAGUUAAUAGAGGCUUUGCACCAUCAUGUAAUGGUAGCCAUGACGGGAGUCGCAACAACUGAAAACGUUAUGCCCAAGCUAAAGAGGUCAACUUUCAAGAAUGGUUAAACUAAUCUGGGUAUAUGAUGGUAUGGGGUGUUGUAGUGGUAGUGAUAAUGAAUUAACCACCUUUGUGGUCUUGGAUUGGAUUCCUGGACUCGGUAUCACAUGUGAGCAGAGUUUGUUAGGUCUCUCUUGAAGGGAUCAGUCGGUGAAUCCAUAUUCCAUGUGGAAUGAAUUUUAGUGGUCUCUCAUGAUCAGCUGGUUGUAUUGAGGGACAAACAAUCAAAUGUUUAGAUGAAUGAAUUUACUGAAAAAUUUCAUUAGGGAACUGAAAAGCAAGGGCGGAACCAGGGAGGGCAAAUGGGGCCUGAAGUCCCCCUUCAGCAGAAAAAAACGAUGCUUUUUUACAUUGUUUUCCGUUGUGUUGACGGAAGAAACUCAAUUAGCCCCCCUAAACUCAAUUAGCCCCCCUAAACUCAAUUAGCCCCUACAAUUUUGGCUGGAUCCACCCUUGAAAAGACUUUAGUUACUAGCUGCAAUGGUAAUGGUAGAGGUGUGCAAUGUUAGCUCAUAGUUUCAGCUUUGUUAUAUUAGAAAUAAAAAUAAAUAAUAGUAAUAUAAUUUAAGAUAUUUUAAAGAUUAGACAUACAAUAAAUGUGUAUGCUUAAUUUAUUAAACUUGUUACUACACCAACAUGGA